rnacentral:rRNA from 1 species
AGAGUUUGAUCCUGGCUCAGGACGAACGCUGGCGGCGUGCUUAACACAUGCAAGUUGAACGGUCCGGCAUGGAAGCUUGCUGAAGUGUCGGGUAGUAGCGGACGGGUGAGUAAUGCAUGAGAAGCUGCCAUUGGGAGGGGGACAACAGUUGGAAACGGCUGCUAAUACCCCAUAUGCCGGAAGGUGAAACGGAGUGAUCCGCCCGAUGAGGUGCUCAUGUCCUAUCAGCUUGUUGGUGAGGUAACGGCUCACCAAGGCGACGACGGGUAGCCGGCCUGAGAGGGUGACCGGCCACACUGGAACUGAGAUACGGUCCAGACUCCUACGGGAGGCAGCAGUGGGGAAUAUUGGGCAAUGGGGGCAACCCUGACCCAGCGACGCCGCGUGAGGGAAGACGGCCUUCGGGUUGUAAACCUCUUUUGUACGGGAAGAAGGAAGUGACGGUACUGUACGAAUAAGUCCCGGCUAACUACGUGCCAGCAGCCGCGGUAAUACGUAGGGGACGAGCGUUGUCCGGAAUUACUGGGCGUAAAGGGCGCGCAGGCUGUGCUGCAAGUCAGCUGUGAAAUGUCUGGGCUUAACCCGGGCAUGCGGUUGAGACUGCAGUGCUGGAGUGCUGUAGAGGCAAGUGGAAUUCCCAGUGUAGCGGUGAAAUGCGUAGAUAUUGGGAAGAACACCGGUGGCGAAGGCGACUUGCUGGGCAGCAACUGACGCUGAGGCGCGAAAGCCAGGGGAGCAAACGGGAUUAGAUACCCCGGUAGUCCUGGCCGUAAACGAUGAAUGCUAGGUGUGUGUGUAGAGAUACAUGCGUGCCGGAGUUAACGCGAUAAGCAUUCCGCCUGGGGAGUACGGUCGCAAGAUUGAAACUCAAAGGAAUUGACGGGGGCCCGCACAA